GGCCGGGCGUGGUGGCUCACGCUUGUAAUCCCAGCACUUUGGGAGGCCGAGGCGGGUGGAUCACGAGGUCAGGAGAUCGAGACCAUCCUGGCUAACACGGUGAAACCCCGUCUCUACUAAAAAUACAAAAAAAAAUUAGCCGGGCGUGAUGGCGGGCGCCUGUAGUCCCAGCUACUCGGGAGGCUGAGGCAAGAGAAUGGCGUGAACCCGGGAGGCGGAGCUUGCAGUGAGCCGAGAUUGCGCCACUGCACUCCCGCCUGGGCCACAGAGCGAGACUCCGUCUCAAAAAAAAAAAAAAAAAAAAA
rnacentral:lncRNA from 1 species